AUGGCCGCUCAGAGCUCCUCCAAGGACAAGUUCUUCAAUAGGGUAAUCAACCCCUACUUGUCAGAGGUGGUGAAGCACCCUCAAACCAUCGAGAUGCGUGAGGGGGUGCUUCACAUCCGGGACGUUCAAGGGCCCAAGGGGAAGGGAACCGUGGAGGCCAGGCUCGAUGCCAUGGAGCAAGAGGUCUUCAAGUGCAAGGGGAUGGUGGAGCGCGGACUCGAUGCCAAUCACCUCAUGAUUACGGAUUUCACCCGUGAUCUCAAGGUGGAUGGCUGGUCCAUGAAGGAUGUCGUCUUCACCCUCAACGAGCAAAUCAACUUUCUGCAAAGCCAAAUCUAUGAUCUCCAAAACCAAGUCUUUGAAUAUGAGGCAAGGUUUAAAGGUAUGAGUUUGGCUGUCAGUUGCAGGACUCGCGAGACUCAUGCUUCCUCUUAUGAUGGUGAGCCACUACCAUGGAAACCGGAGGAUAAGAACACUCACACCUCAUCUACACCACCACCACCUUCUUCACCACCAAAGGAGACUUGA
rnacentral:rRNA from 1 species